rnacentral:rRNA from 1 species
UGGCGGACGGGUGAGUAACGCGUGGGUAACCUGCCUCAUACAGGGGGAUAACAGUUGGUAACGGCUGCUAAUACCGCAUAAGCGCACAGUACCGCAUGGUACCGUGUGAAAAACUCCGGUGGUAUGAGAUGGACCCGCGUCUGAUUAGCUAGUUGGUGGGGUAACGGCCUACCAAGGCGACGAUCAGUAGCCGACCUGAGAGGGUGACCGGCCACAUUGGGACUGAGACACGGCCCAA